rnacentral:rRNA from 1 species
AUUGAACGCUGGCGGCACGCCUAACACAUGCAAGUCGAGCGGUAGCAUGACGCGUAGCAAUACGAGUUGAUGACGAGCGGCGGACGGGUGAGGAAAACGUAGGAAUCUACCCUCGAGCGGGGGACAACCAAGGGAAACUUUGGCUAAUACCGCAUAAUCUCGAGAGAGUAAAGUUGCCGCAAGGUGACACUCGAGGAGGAGCCUGCGUCCGAUUAGCUAGUUGGUAGGGUAAAAGCCUGCCAAGGCGAUGAUCGGUAACUGGUCUGAGAGGACGACCAGUCACACUGGGACUGAGACACGGCCCAGACUCCUACGGGAGGCAGCAGUGGGGAAUAUUGGACAAUGGGGGCAACCCUGAUCCAGCGAUGCCGCGUGAGUGAAGAAGGCCUUCGGGUCGUAAAGCUCUUUAGGUUGGGAAGAAGUUUGGCUAAGGAUAAUUUAGUCAAGUUGACGGUACCGACAGAAUAAGCACCGGCAAACUCUGUGCCAGCAGCCGCAGUAA